UUUCCGUAGGUGAACCUGCGGAAGGAUCAUUACUGAGUUUGAAAUUGAAAAAUUUCAUCUCCCACCCUUUGUUUAUAAGACCUGUUGCUUCGGCGAGAUUGAUUUUUGUAACCAAAAAUCGGUUGAUUUUAUCUCAAAGUGAACUUUGCUUGCCGAAGUUUUUUAUAACACUUUUUUAUUAAAAUAUUUUGAAAAAACAAAACAAAAAAAUUAAAACUUUCAACAACGGAUCUCUUGGUUCUG
rnacentral:misc_RNA from 1 species